rnacentral:tRNA from 2 species
GGGCCGGUAGCUCAGUUGGUAGAGCACGGCACUUUUAAUGCUGGGGUCGCGGGUUCAAAUCCCGCCCGGCUCACCA